GCUUAAGGAUAGAAGUACCCAGAAUUCAGUAGCAGAAAAAAUAAGAGGACUAUGAUGGACAACCUCAGUCCUACUUUGUUUUACAUUAAUUUUUACUCCUUCACCCUUCUGAUCCCACAGUCUCUCUCGGUUCUCCUCCAAAUUUGCCUUUGAACUCCAGAUUCUUAACCACCAUCUGCCUUAUCUGCUGAGAUUUUUCUGUUGUCAUUCUUUUCUGAUUCGCAGACCCUUCACCCAUUUAUGGCCAAAAUGCAGAGCUUCAAGAGUUCCGCCAUGCAACAGCCAUGCACAUGCUAGCCGGGGAAUAGAUAGGUGUUCCACCAUUUGGGGGCACCCUGAGCUAUGUGCUUCUUGUUUCUGCCAUUAUAAUGUAGUCCUAAAGUACUAUUUGACCUAGAUAUUGUUGGUGACAGCCUAGAGGAUACCUAGAUACCCAUGAUUUUCCAAAGUCACAUACUACAGAAAGAAAAGGAAAAAAAGAAAAAAACACAAGACAAGACAGUCAUGGGAAAAAAUACUUUGGGUAUGUGUAUCUUCAUUAGACUAAUCCAUGGUUUACAUAAGAGCCCAUUAUCCACCCACUCAGAACCUAUUUACAUUUCCCAUCUUUCUACUCUUGGAUGGAACAAGUUUCUUCAAUUCAUUUAUUGUAACUAAAGGUCUGUGGUGCUAUAGAAAAAGACUAGAACUUGGGGGUCAAAAAAUCCAUGCUUGAAUCUUGACCUUCCACUAUUUCAUGAACUCAGGAAAGCCAUUCAAAUUACCUUGUCCUCAGGGUCUUCAUCUGUAAACAUAUUAGAAAAAAAAAAUCCUACACUUCUACCUCAUACAUAAUCGUAAUACCAAAUGAGUUAAGGGAAAAUUCUUAGAAUAUUCAAAAAAUUUUAUAAACACAACUUUGAUAGUUGUUACCUAAUUUGUAGUCUAUCAUCAUUGGCCUCUUUAAAUAUUUUAUAGAUUUUUUUUCCUCUAUCUUGUUUUGAGAUGCAAUAGCCAGACUUCAAUACCCAGAAGCGAGCUUGAUACAUACUAGGCGCAUAAUUAGAAUUGUUUGACAAAUGAACUAAAUAUCCCACAUUCUGAUACAUCACUUAAUUUAAGACUAAUGUUUCUGUGUUUUUAUUUUCAAUUCCCUUCUUGAUCUGCCAAUAUACUCAAGGGUUACAUCAAACAGUGGUCUACAAAAAUGUAUCUUUUAUGAGACUAAUGGAUAACUAGAUUUAUUUUUCUAUAAGCAUGGAUUUUAUUAUUUUUUUCCUAAGUGAAUUACCUUUCAUUGCCCACAUUGAAUAUCAUCUACCACUUUUCUGCCCACUCAUGCAGGCUGGCAAGUUUUCCCUGUAGUUUAUCUCCAUCUGCUUGGCAUUUCACUACCUGGAAGAGCUUAGUGUCAUCUGCAAACUUGGAUAAUUCACCAUGCAUUCCCUCUUCCAAAUCAUUUAUGAAAAUGUUAAAUAAGACAGGUUCCAGGGCCAAUCCCUAAGAAACCAAACUGUUUUUUGCUUCUCCACUCGGAAGAGCUCUCAUUUAUCUCUAGAUUAUGUUUUUCUUUCCCCUUGUUAAAAUAAGCUUUGUAUAAUCACUAUAUAUUGAUACAUGCAUGUGUUUCUUAUGAGUAAUAAAGCUACUUGAGGCCUGGGGAUACAAAAUUAUCCAAAAUGUGUUUUUUUUCCAUAAAACCCUUAGGAGACAGCUAACUUGAAUAGUAAAGAGGAAGCAGAACAGAUAGGACACUCUGGACCCUUUGGACUCUACUUGCAAAAAAUAAAUAAAUCUUUGUUUUGAUCUACUUUAUAGAGCAAGACAUCGAUUUGUGAACAAAAAGAAAAAUCUGUAAAAAGAAAAAAAAAAAACUAGAGCCUUAAAAAUAUCACUAGUCCAGAGAAAAAGCAAUAGAGUCAGGAUCCCAAGAUUUGUACUUUGUCUUGUACUCUGCUAUGUGCCACCACUGUAUUCUUAGAUGAGUAACCUAACCUUACUGAUACUCUGGUUCCUAAACUGUAAAACAAGGAAAAUAAGCUCUAAUUUGUCUCUCUCUUGCAUAUGUUGUGAUGAAGAGGAUGAAGUGAUAUAAUGUAUUUGAAGUGGAUUAUAGGGAUGCCUGGGUGGCUCAGUGGUUCAGCAUCUGACUUUGGCUCAGGGCAUGAUCCUGGAGUUCUGGGAUCGAGUCCCACAUUGGGCCCCUGCAAGGAGUCUGCUUCUCCCUCUGCCUAUGUCCCUGCCUUCUCUCUGUGUAUCUUUUGAAUAAAUAAAUAAAAUCUUAAAAAAAAAAAGAGAAGUGGAUUAUAGUAUUCAUAAAGAAGGGAGAUUUUCUGGAUGUAUACAGAAGGUGCAAGGGUACCAGCACUUUUAGAGGUAAUGUAAUUCAGAUAUUCCAAGGGCACGAGCUGGAAAGGGGAACUAAAAAUGUCAGGAGGCAGCUGACAUAAUGAGAAAGUGAACAUAGCGAGGAACUUUGUCUAUAAGAUGAAAUUUGAGAAAAAAAUAGGAGAGUAAAAGAGAUGGAAGGAGAUUAUGAUUAGAGGGAAAUACUGGAUAUCAAGAUUUCUGAGAAAGAGACCUAAGAGUGGCGGCUGUAUUGAGGCUGAAGUCAAGGAUGUAGGAGUCAAGAAAUCAAGGUCUGGUAAAUCAGUUCAUUAUAAAGACUGUCCAAAAAUGCAUUUAUCUCCUCAAUGGAGGUAGAGAAGGAAAAUAGUGAGUUGGUCCUAACAUCUUCAAAAGUGGUGGUGGGGGGCGGGCUUUAGGAGAGUCAUGGAUGGCAGCACUGAAGAGGGCACAAAGCAACACUGACAAACGAAAAGAACCCCAAAGGAAGACCUCAAACAGGAGGAUGGAGAUUGCCACCUGAGCCAGAAGAUCAUCCAUCCCACCCCACCCAUGGUUUAUGGACUCUUAGGUAAGGGGAACAGGGCAAGUUUGGCACUCAAAGGAGUGCCUAGAUUCAAGCAUGGAGACUCAGGUAUAGAAACAUUCUGUUAAAAGGUUGACCCCACAGGAUAUUGUUUACAAAAACACAAGGUUUUCUGCCUAAGCAGACAAGCUGGAAGGAGUUGCGGUGAGGCAGUGCAGAGAGCAAUGGAAAGGCAAAAUAAAGGGGAGAAGAUGUGGAAUGAAAAUGGACUCUUAUCAAGAUUUCAGGGGUUAAAAACAGAUUUUGGUGUGGCAAAAAAAAAAAAAA
rnacentral:lncRNA from 1 species